AACGUAGGAGACUAGCGUUAUCCGGAUUUACUGGGCGUAAAGCGUGUGCAGGCGGUUCGGCAAGUUGGAUGUGAAAUCUCCCGGCUCAACUGGGAGGGGUCGUUCAAUACUACCGAACUUGAGGGCAUCAGAGGAAGGUGGAAUUCCGGGUGUAGUGGUGAAAUGCGUAGAUAUCUGGAGGAACACCGGUGGCGAAGGCGGCAUCCUGGACCGGCAUUGACGCUGAGGCGCGAAAGCCAGGGGAGCAAAGCGGG
rnacentral:rRNA from 1 species